rnacentral:lncRNA from 1 species
AGAGAGCUAGGGACACGCGAAAUACGUAACCCCUUCCCCAUUUUCCAUUUUCUUCUACACAUAAAUAUACACACAUGCCAUCCCUAUUUUCUUCGAGCUUUUUUAGACAUAAAAACAGAUGGAAUACCUAUUUUUUAGGGUGGGGGUGCUUCGAUUUGUCUACUCCUUCGGAAAUCAACAACCAGGGAGCUCACAUCUCACUCAGCUUCCAUGGCCUUCCAUCAACACUUCCCUUCACCAGGCCAACUGACCCUCCCUAUAUUUCCCGUCACAUACAUCUAAAACCGCUAAGAUAAAGGGCCAAAAUCUCGACAAAAAAAUGAGAUUCAGAAGCUAAAAAGGGGCAGAGAAAACGAGAUGUGAAAACGAAAGGGAAAAUAGAAGAUUUCAAGUGGUUUUAUUUUGAAAAAAUGACUCAAAAGGCUGGAGUUGUUUUUCUUUGGUUGAUUUGAAAGAGUUCUCCAUUCUGGGUUUGCAUGUCUAGAAUGAAUUCAUGAUUUGCUCGCUGCUGGUGAUUGCUGAGUGUUGCUGGGCUACAAUUGAGCUCCAUUGGUGCUUAUCCAACUUUUGUUGGAUUCAAUCAAGUCUUUGCUUUUAAAUAUAGGUACGUACAUGUAAAACUACACUUGUGUUGUUGGAAUAAUUGGAAUUUGUUCAAGUCAUUUCCGUUCCUUGUUGUGCUGCUAUACGAUUCCUAUGGUUUGAGUUUAUUACUUCGAUUUUGAUUACUCGGCCAUUUUGAAAUAGCAAGUUUCUUUAGGCUCAAUAUCAUGAGCGAUGGUUUUCGAUUUAAUUUAGCUUUUCUUUUGUCAAAGUUUGCUCACUACAGUCAUGUUAAUUUGUGAGUUUACUGAAAAUUGCAGCAAUAGUUUGGUGUUGAAUGAUGUGUGGAAUGUCCUUUGCUGAAAUUUAUGUCACAUUCUUAUACGAUUUUGGGUUUGGCUAUUUGGAUUUUACUCAUUCCUAUUGAUUAACUAGAAUAGGUUUGCUGAAUGUGUAAAGUUAUUAUCAUGAAUUUGUUUAGGGCAAUAGCGUGUUUUAAAAUUGUUGAUAUGAAAAGUAGAAAAUGCAAUAUUAUGUUACUUGAAUUUUUCGAACUUGAGUAGUCCGUUAGGAUAAAUUUCUUUAGUUUAACUUUGAGCUCAACUUUUGCUUUGGCAUAAAAUACCAUCCUUCUCUGAUGUAUUUGUUAAACUUCAUGUUUUGUAUCCUUUCCAUUCUGAUAUUUUGCUGAAGCAUAUACCACAGUGAAGAAGACAACCUGAUUGUGGCCCAUCUUAUUAAUUUCCAUCUUAUGAAUGGCAGAUGCCGAAGCACGCCAGAGGCGAGCGCUGCCUACCACAAUCAAGGAGACGACGUUCCACGAGCGUAUCAAAAGCCCGGGUUUUGGCUGCCCCCUCAAUCCACGCUGGUCCACGCCCCGAGUCGAUCGGCGGACCGGCUCAACACCGUUCCACAUCCGNN